GGCUCGUUAGCUCAGUAGGUUAGAGCACCACUCUGUUGAAGUGGAGGUCGCAGAUUCGAAUUCUGCACGAGCCC